rnacentral:rRNA from 1 species
AAGGGGUUCUUGAUUGUAGCUUUGCCUGCUAUCUCUUACCCAUGUCUUUUGAGUACCUUACGUUUCCUCGGCGGGUCCGCCCGCCGAUUGGACAAUUUAAACCAUUUGCAGUUGCAAUCAGCGUCUGAAAAAACUUAAUAGUUACAACUUUCAACAACGGAUCUCUUGGUUCUGGCAUCGAUGAAGAACGCAGCGAAAUGCGAUAAGUAGUGUGAAUUGCAGAAUUCAGUGAAUCAUCGAAUCUUUGAACGCACAUUGCGCCCCUUGGUAUUCCAUGGGGCAUGCCUGUUCGAGCGUCAUUUGUACCUUCAAGCUCUGCUUGGUGUUGGGUGUUUGUCUCGCCUCUGCGUGUAGACUCGCCUCAAAACAAUUGGCAGCCGGCGUAUUGAUUUCGGAGCGCAGUACAUCUCGCGCUUUGCACUCAUAACGACGACGUCCAAAAGUACAUUUUUACACUCUUGACCUCGGAUCAGGUAGGGAUACCCGCUGAACUUAAGCAUAUCAAUACCCCGGAGGA